rnacentral:circRNA from 1 species
GUCACACUGCAGAACAGAGUGAUAUUGCAAAAAGCCAAAUUAUCAGUCUACGUGCAACCACCAUUAGAAUUGACUUGUGAUCAGUUCACCUUUGAAUUUAUGAAUCGAAAUCCUGAUGGCAUUCCGCGAGUUAUCCAAUGUAAAUUUAGACUUCCCCUAAAGUUAAUUUGCCUACCAGGUCAGCCUUCAAAAACUGCAAGCCACAAAAUUACUAUUGAUACCAACAAAUCUCCAGUCAGUCUUCUUAGUCUCUUCCCAGGUUUUGCCAGUCAGUCAGAUGAUGAUCAGGUGAAUGUAAUGGGUUUUCACUUCUUAGGAGGUGCUCGAAUUACUGUUCUUGCUUCCAAAACUUCUCAACGAUAUCGCAUUCAGAGUGAACAAUUUGAAGAUCUUUGGCUCAUAACCAAUGAGCUUAUUCUUCGCCUUCAAGAAUAUUUUGAAAAACAGGGAGUCAAAGAUUUUGCAUGUUCUUUUUCGGGAUCUAUACCCCUUCAAGAAUAUUUUGAGUUGAUUGAUCAUCAUUUUGAGCUACGGAUAAAUGGUGAAAAAUUAGAAGAACUCUUAUCUGAGAGAGCUGUACAAUUUCGGGCCAUUCAACGCCGGCUACUAGCAAGAUUCAAAGAUAAAACUCCUGCCCCUCUUCAACACCUGGACACCUUGUUAGAUGGAACCUACAAGCAGGUAAUUGCUCUAGCAGAUGCAGUGGAGGAAAACCAAGGCAAUCUGUUCCAGUCAUUCACCAGGCUGAAGAGUGCCACCCAUUUGGUGAUUCUGCUGAUCGCGCUGUGGCAGAAGCUUAGUGCUGACCAGGUUGCUAUUCUGGAAGCGGCAUUUCUGCCGCUACAAGAAGACACUCAAGAAUUGGGCUGGGAAGAAACGGUGGAUGCCGCCAUUUCCCACCUGUUGAAGACUUGCCUGUCGAAGAGUUCUAAGGAGCAGGCUUUGAACCUCAACAGCCAGCUGAACAUACCCAAAGACACAAGCCAACUGAAGAAACAUAUCACCUUGCUCUGCGAUAGAUUAUCCAAAGGUGGCCGUCUCUGCCUAAGUACCGAUGCAGCAGCCCCACAGACCAUGGUCAUGCCAG